UGGAGUUACCGUGGACGCUCCUGCAUUCAGCCACCUGAUCGCAUCCUGUGUCCUUCCUAUCUGUCAUGGGAUGUUUGCUACAAUGGUUUUAUGGAGUGUUUACUUUCAAAGUUUCUCCUCUUCCCCCGCCCUGGAAGUUGCAACUUUUCAUUAGGCUGGCCUUUCUCAACUUUAGUCAUAAAGUGUAGUCCAGCAAGUCACAAUAAUUGCUGGAGGUGGAAGUGAGCACCUGUUAUUUUGAGACGCUCCCCAGGUGAUUCCACUGUGCAGCCAGAGUUGGAAACCACUGAGCUAAAAAGACAGUCAGCUUUGCUAUCUUUCUGCAGACUUGGCUCCUUCCUGCUGCCCACUCCAUGCUUGAGAUAGAUGCCCCUUCAUCUCCUCUUUCCUUAGGAUGAUGGAGCUCACUCAGGAAUGAACUCUCACUGGGCUCACUGGACUGCAAGGUCAGCGUGAAAUAUAGAGUAGAUGAGUGACAUUGGGCUUGAGUGGUGCAGUCCCUCUGUCUGACUCACAAUAUGGUCACUCUUCGGUUGCUAUUAAUAGUGUGCACUGAUGAGAAUGCGUACGCAAACAUGCUACUUGCAUGAAUGGUGUCAUGAGAAACGGAUUCAUCAGGAUUAUGAGAAAUGGAUUAUUCAGGAUUCUUUGGGUUAUAAAGGCUACAGACACAACCCAACUUAAACUUGGCUCACAUAACUUUAAAAGUCUAGAAAAGUGUUUCCCAAACACUGUUGUACAUGCGGAUCACAUGAACAUUUUGAGUAGAUGCCCAUCCUCGCUUAGGAGGUCUGGGUUGGGUACUUAUUUUUCAAAGCUCCUAAGCUAUGCUAGUGUGGCUGGUCUGCAGAACACACUUGAAGUGCAAAUGAUGUGGUCUGGAUGUUGGCUUCUUUUCCUUUCUCAGCUCUCCUUCCUCUUUGUUAGUCACAAGGUGGCCCCGGCAAUGCCAUAUUGGCUUCUUCACAGCCUCAUGUCCAGCAAGAAAUGAGUGGAAACCUCAUUGCCAAUCGCUCCAGCAAAUCCUCUGGGACAGAGACUGAUUGGAACUGAUUGGCUUGGGUCAUGAGCCUAACCUGAAGCCAACCACUGAAAUGAAAAUAAUGUGUUGCUCUUAUUGGCUGGUCCUGAGAAAUGUAUCACCCUGGGGCAGGUGUGGAAUCAGGUGAGGGAAGUGUAGCAGCAGGUGAGACACAUGUGAAAUCAAGUGGGGUAGGUGUGGCCUCAGGUGGAGAAGGUGUGGAAUCAGGUGGGGCAGGUAUGGAAUCUGGUGGGGCAGGUGUGGCCUCAGGUGGGGCAGGUGUGAAAUCAGGUGGGGCAGGUGUAGCCUCAGGUGGGGCAGGUGUGGAUUGAGACUAAGAGCCUAUGCAUCAUGGAAAAAUCUGGCUUUCACUGAAAGUCAGGGAACAGAUGCCGGUCAGACAAAACAGCAGAUGUCCACCCCAGAAGGUAUCAUCUACCACAAAGAUCUGUAAACACUGUGAGGCUAGAGAAUAAUUCCUUUUGACUUUUUAUGCCCUAGAACAGGGGUC